GUUAAACUCAAAUGAUGACGGGGCCCGCACAAGCGGUGGAGCAUGUGGUUUAAUUCGAUGCAACGCGAAGAACCUUACUGGUCUUGACAUCCAUAGAAUCUUUCAGAGAUGAGAGAGUGCCUUCGGGAGCUAUGAGACAGGUGCUGCAUGGCUGUCGUCAGCUCGUGUUGUGAAAUGUUGGGUUAAGUCCCGCAACGAGCGCAACCCCUAUCCUUUGUUGCCAGCACGUAAUGGUGGGAACUCAAAGGAGACUGCCGUUGAUAAAGCGGAGGAAGGUGGGGACGACGUCAAGUCAUCAUGGCCCUUACGACCAGGGCUACACACGUGCUACAAUGGCGUAUACAAAGGGAUGCGAAGGUGCGAACUGGAGCGGACCUCACAAAGUACGUCUAAGUCCGGAUUGGAGUCUGCAACUCGACUCCAUGAAGUCGGAAUCGCUAGUAAUCGUGAAUCAGAAUGUCACGGUGAAUACGUUCCCGGGCCUUGUACACACCGCCCGUCACACCAUGGGAGUGGGUUGCACCAGAAGUAGAUAGCUUAACCUUCGGGAGGGCGUUUACCACGGUGUGGUUCAUGACUGGGGUGAAGUCGUAACAAGGUAACCA
rnacentral:rRNA from 1 species